rnacentral:lncRNA from 1 species
GGGGCGCUAUCACGUUGUGUUAUUCAAAAUUGAAAACUGGGAACUGAGGGCUUGGGGCAAUGUGGGGGAAUCGCGGUGCCCUUCUGAUUCUAAAAUUCAACCUUGGCGCGAUGUGCCAUUAUCGUAAUAGGACACUGGAAAAGGACAAUUGGGAUUUUCGUUGAUGGCGCAACGCGAUGGUUUCGCAGAGAUUCACUGGAAAUUGACAAUCAUCAUUUAUGCUGGCUCCGCAACGUGCUAAGGGCUAAAUUGAUAGUGUUUAAUGAGUAAAACCUAAAAUCGCCAUAACUUCUUACUCGG